AACGCUGGCGGCGUGCCUAAUACAUGCAAGUCGAGCGGAUCUUGUCCUUCGGGACAAGGUUAGCGGCGGACGGGUGAGUAACACGUAGGCAACCUGCCCUCAAGACUGGGAUAACCUCCGGAAACGGAUGCUAAUACCGGAUGUGCGGUCUCUCCUCCUGGAGGGAUCGGGAAAGACGGAGCAAUCUGUCACUUGGGGAUGGGCCUGCGGCGCAUUAGCUAGUUGGUGGGGUAACGGCUCACCAAGGCGACGAUGCGUAGCCGACCUGAGAGGGUGAUCGGCCACACUGGGACUGAGACACGGCCCAGACUCCUACGGGAGGCAGCAGUAGGGAAUCUUCCGCAAUGGACGCAAGUCUGACGGAGCAACGCCGCGUGAGUGAGGAAGGCCUUCGGGUCGUAAAGCUCUGUU
rnacentral:rRNA from 1 species